GACGAACGCUGGCGGCGUGCUUAACACAUGCAAGUCGAACGGAAAGGCCCUGCUUUUGUGGGGUGCUCGAGUGGCGAACGGGUGAGUAACACGUGAGUAACCUGCCCUUGACUUUGGGAUAACUUCAGGAAACUGGGGCUAAUACCGGAUAGGAGCUCCUGCUGCAUGGUGGGGGUUGGAAAGUUUCGGCGGUUGGGGAUGGACUCGCGGCUUAUCAGCUUGUUGGUGGGGUAGUGGCUUACCAAGGCUUUGACGGGUAGCCGGCCUGAGAGGGUGACCGGCCACAUUGGGACUGCGAUACGGCCCAGACUCCUACGUGAGGCAGCAGUGGGGAAUCUUGCACAAUGGGCCGAAGCCUGAUGCAGCAACGCCGCGUGCGGGAUGACGGCCUUCUGGUUGUAAACCGCUUUCGCCUGUGACGAAGCGUUAGUGACGGUAAUGGGUAAAGAAGCACCGGCUAACUACGUG
rnacentral:rRNA from 1 species